UACGUAGGGGGCAAGCGUUGUCCGGAUUUAUUGGGCGUAAAGAGCGUGUAGGCGGCUUUACAGGUCCGUUGUGAAGACUCGAGGCUCAACCUCGAGACGCCGGUGGAAACCGUAAAGCUAGAGUCCGGAAGAGGAGAGUGGAAUUCCUGGUGUAGCGGUGAAAUGCGCAGAUAUCAGGAGGAACACCCGUGGCGAAAGCGGCUCUCUGGGACGGUACUGACGCUGAGACCCGAAAGCCAGGGUAGCGAACCGG
rnacentral:rRNA from 1 species